rnacentral:rRNA from 1 species
UGGGGAAUAUUGCACAAUGGGCGCAAGCCUGAUGCAGCCAUGCCGCGUGUAUGAAGAAGGCCUUCGGGUUGUAAAGUACUUUCAGCGGGGAGGAAGGUGUUGUGGUUAAUAACCACAGCAAUUGACGUUACCCGCAGAAGAAGCACCGGCUAACUCCGUGCCAGCAGCCGCGGUAAUACGGAGGGUGCAAGCGUUAAUCGGAAUUACUGGGCGUAAAGCGCACGCAGGCGGUUUGUCAAGUCGGAUGUGAAAUCCCCGGGCUCAACCUGGGAACUGCAUUCGAAACUGGCAGGCUAGAGUCUUGUAGAGGGGGGUAGAAUUCCAGGUGUAGCGGUGAAAUGCGUAGAGAUCUGGAGGAAUACCGGUGGCGAAGGCGGCCCCCUGGACAAAGACUGACGCUCAGGUGCGAAAGCGUGGGGAGCAAACA